rnacentral:misc_RNA from 1 species
AAAAGAAUUGUGUCAAAUUGAACAGCUGAUUUGCUGAUUAUCUGCAGGAAAAUGGCGAGCCAAUGUAAAUCGCGAAAAAUCCAAUAAAUUUAAGUGUUUUCCGUCCCGAAGCUGUUAAUUAACACAGUAAACCAUGCCUGGUACUAGUCUUGUGGUACCUGUGGUAAUGUGGGGCAAGUUUGCCCCUACACAUUGCAUUUCAUGCAUUUAUUUGUCAAAAGACCAGAAGACUUUAGCUACUGGGUGUUAUGAUGGACAAAUAUGCCUUUGGCAAGUAGAUCCGGACACCCUUGAGAUGACUCCUAGGUGUCUUCUUGUGGGGCACACAGCACCCAUCCUAUGCAUUUCAAGAGCCUCGAUAGUGCAAGAUAACAACUACAUCGUUAGUAGCUCAGAAGCAGGAGAGAUGUGUACCUGGGACAUUACAGAUGGUAAAUGCAGGGAGGCAGUAAAGUUACCACAAGUUCACACUAAUAUGCAAGCUUACCACAUGUGUAACUGUGAGGAUGUCAGACUAUUUUGCAACGGCUAUUACCCAGAAAUCUUGGUUAUGGAUCCCUUUAGCCUGGAAAUUUUGUUCACAUUAUCAUCUAAACAAAAUCCUGACUGGAUAAGCGCUUUACACGUGCUUCGGCCAGCGAAACGCAAAGAUGAUGUCGUUCUUGCAUUAACAACCACAGGGAUGGUGAAGGUGUGGACUUUGUUGGGUCAUGAAAAUAAACAUUCUGAACCUAUUUAUGAAAAUGAAAGUAAACAGAUUCGGACCUUGAAUGCAGUUUGUUUGCAAUGCUGUGCGUAUAACCAGAGGACGGUGUUAGUAGUUUGUACUAAGUAUUGGCAGAUUUAUGAUGCAGGAGAUUUUAGUGUGCUUUGCUCUUAUUUAACCCCACGAGGAGAACGCUGGAUGUCAGGUGACUUUUUAGCAGUUGACCGAAUCAUCAUGUGGUCAGAUGCUGGCAAAGGUUAUAUGUAUAAACUACCUGCCAAAAAGCUGCGUGGAAAGAAUAUUAACAAUAGUAGUACAGCAGACCACAAAGACUUUCACACAAAAAGCAUCGAAAAUGAUACACCGUUCCUGUACUGUCUUCUCAGUCAACCUGAUGGAAAGCCCUUAUCUUGUCCUCCUGCUAUGCGCCUAGUAACCACAUACAGAAACGCACAAGCCAAACGUUAUUUGCUAAGAGGAGACUCCGAGGGCUCAGUUUUGCUUUGGGCUAUACCGGAUAUAUCACCUGCCCAGCUGGAAGCUAUAAGAUCGCAAGCACCGUCACAACCAGUGACUGCGUCAGCUACAGUUAUUACUAGUUUAACUAGUGCAUGGAAAUCCGUAAGGCCGGAUCCUAUGGGUGUUUUGGACCAAGUCGAGCGACAAGAAAGGCAAACAAUCAAAUUAACCGCCAGCAUUUACCUACCUCUUCAGUGUAGAUUGGUAGUAGGGAGGGAGGACGGGUCGAUUAUUAUUGUUCCAGCGACUCAAACUGUAAUGUUGCAACUGUUACACGGGAACCAUCAACAGUAUAAUAAUUGGCCUCCACACCAGAUUUUAUCAGGCCAUCAUGGCCGGGUCAACUGCUUGCUUCACCCACACAGGGAGCACCCAAGGUAUGAUAGGAACUAUCUUGUAUCAGGAGGUGUGGAUUUUGCUGUAUGUCUUUGGAAUUUAGUCACCGGCCAAUUACUGCACCGCUUUUGUGUACAUGCUGGUGAAAUUACUCAGCUCAUGGUACCGCCUGAAAACUGUAGUGCAAGAAUCCAGAAAUGCAUUUGUUCUGUAGCAUCCGAUCACUCAGUUACAUUACUGAGCUUGGCUGAGCGGAAGUGCGUAUGUCUCGCCUCGAGACACUUAUUUCCAGUAACGACGAUAAAGUGGCGACCCAAGGAUGAUUUUAUGAUAAUAGGAUGUUCUGACGGUACCGUUUACGUUUGGCAAAUGGAAACUGGACAUUUAGAUAGAGUGCUACAAGGUAUUGCCGCAGAAGAAGUUCUCUACGCCUGCGAAGAAAACGAGGACGCAGGUUCUUCUUCAGAUAUGGGUCUAGCAAAUCCAGCAGUACAUUUCUUCAGAGGGUUAAGGCAUAGAAACUUAUCAGCGAUUAGGCACGCGACUCAGCGGGGACUGCACCAACUGCAACAGUUGAACGCACAUACGGAGGCUGGUGAUCCUCAUGCCAGAAGGGUGCAUGGACAGACGUCUUUGGGAGUGCAAGGAUUUAGGACAAACCCUAAAGAUCCAGAAAGUCAUAUUCUGUUCUUCGAUAUAGAAGCUUUAAUUAUAGAGCUUUUAAGUGAGGAAUACUCCAUGAUGUCCCCUGGUAGUCUGGAGGCCGCGGGACUUAUUUCUCAAUCUGAGUACCUUAAGGUAGCAGCAUUAACCCAAAGCGCCAGUCCAGAUGCACAUAAAAAAAUUGCCGACUUUUUUGGAAAAGUCAAGGAUAAGGCAGAAAAUAUGGAGAAGAUGAUUAAAGAAAAAGAUAAACAUGGGAUUUUGGCUAAAAUGAAAGAGGGUGCCGAACAAGUGCAAACUAAAAUACAAGCAAGAGCUGAAAUGAUGCUUAAAGGAUCGGAUGUAAAUAAAGAAAACUCCGACUCAACCAAAGAAAAACCUAGACCGGGAAGCCUAGGUGCAUUGGAUACCUCCCAUGGUAUGGAAAUAGCCCAGCUGUUACUGUCCCUACUUCAUUCUUGGGGCCUGGAUGAUGACCUGGACCGGGUUUGUCAAGUCAAACUAGGGCUACUACGCCCUAUGGUGCCCCUUUCCUUUGGAGUUUUAUCCAAAGCAAAUCACAUGUCGUUGUUUUUGCCCACAUGGCAUAAUACGAUACCAUUGGAGGACGAACCGGUAUCGGACCAUCAAGAUUUAGAAGUUAGUUUACCACCGGAAUUGGUGAGGAGAGAAAAGCUGACUAGAAUAUUUACAAGCAGGACUCACUGGGAGCUCAGUACUACUCUAACCAGCAACCACUUACUCGCAAUCAUUGCCCUUAGUCAUACCCUCAUGAGCAUGAGCAACGCCACCUUUGUGCCUGAACAAGAGAGAAAUAGAAAGCUUCAUAGGCAAUCAACCAGAGUUAACUGGAGCAGAGCAGAUGAGGAACAAGAAGAUAUGUAUACCCAACAACAGGCGCAAAUCAAGCAAGGCUGGUCCUUGUUGGCGACCCUCCAUUGUGUUUUGUUACCAGAUAAGGUGGUUGAACAUGGAGCAAAACAUUUUAAAAGGCCACAAGUCGAGAUGAUGGCCAAAAGGUGGCAGCAUCAUUGCGUGGAAGUGCGCGAGGCAGCUCAGACAUUGCUUCUUGCGGAACUUUCAAGAAUGGGUCCUAAAGGAAGAAAGCAGCUAGUCGAUGCAUGGGCUCAGUACCUGCCUUUAUACACGCAAACUGAAACGAUAAAUCAGCAGGCGGUCAAUCAACCUAAUGCUCAGAAUCAUGUCAAUUCAAACGGGCCUAAUACUCCUGAUCCAGUGGAUGAAGAUUUUGAAGAAGAAGAAGAGGAGCAAGUUAGGAAACCUUCCAGUUUGACAGAGUUAAAGCGUAAGCAAUCGACAGCCGUCAUUUUAUUGGGGGUGAUAGGAGCAGAAUUCGGACAGGAUAUUACCAGUUGUGAUAAUUCCAAAAAGAGAAUAGCAGAAGAUAGGAGAAAGAAUUCUGUUGUAGAAGGAUUUGGCUCAGGAAAUAACAAUUUAGCGAGGCUAACAGCAAUGGCGCUAUCUCAUUUGCUGCUCGCACCACCGUCACCUCGAUUGCCCGCACAUAUUCCACUCAGGAGGGCAGCAAUCGACCUGAUUGGUCGAGGAUUUACCAGCUCUGUUCAGAAGCAGACAAGUUAGUACCCAGUAUGACUUACGGAUUGCCCCUGACUCCACAAGCAGAUUCCUGUAGGACGGCCAGACAUGCGUUGACACUUAUAGCUACUGCAAGACCAGCGGCCUUUAUAACGACCAUGGCGAAAGAAGUGGCGCGGUAUAAUGCCAUGCAACAGAACGCGCAGACGUUGAACGUCAACAUGUUAACUAACAGCGUGCUGCACAAAGCAAAACCGGAAAUUCUUAGGGGCGUGGAGCUGCUCA